rnacentral:lncRNA from 1 species
UGUGACAAUGAGCUCAGCCGAGGAUUCCUCCUUGCCAAACUCGUUCGUGAACUCGACUGUGUAGUUUCCAGCCAUAAUGGACAAUCUGCGCUGAUA